rnacentral:rRNA from 1 species
UGAGGAAUAUUGGUCAAUGGACGAGAGUCUGAACCAGCCAAGUAGCGUGCAGGAUGACGGCCCUAUGGGUUGUAAACUGCUUUUGUUUGGGAAUAAUCGACAUUACGUGUAAUGUUUUGCAUGUACCAUUCGAAUAAGCGCCGGCUAACUACGUGCCAGCAGCCGCGGUAAUACGUAGGGCGCAAGCGUUAUCCGGAAUUAUUGGGCGUAAAGAGCUUGUAGGCGGUUCGUCGCGUCUGGUGUGAAAGCCCAUCGCUUAACGGUGGGUUUGCGCCGGGUACGGGCGGGCUAGAGUGCAGUAGGGGAGACUGGAAUUCCCGGUGUAACGGUGGAAUGUGUAGAUAUCGGGAAGAACACCAAUGGCGAAGGCAGGUCUCUGGGCUGUUACUGACGCUGAGAAGCGAAAGCGUGGGGAGCGAACAGG